CCACCGAACACACACGUACCAGCACACACGGCGACGCCGUUCGCUUGCGCGAGUGCGAAGUGAAGAAAAGAAAAGCGUGACCACAGAGGGACGAUAGUGACGAUCGGAUUUCCAUUUCCUAUCGGGGAAAACAGAAUACUUCCGAGUGCAGUGAAAAUCGUCCGCGUGAACAAGUGAAAAGAAGCGUGCAGUCCAUCCAUCCGGUAGCACAUCGGCGGCCAUCAUGCAGGUGUGCUGCGUAGUGGCGUAAAGCAGUGCGAAGAGGAUGAUGUAAGAAAACACGGCGAAGUAGCAGCAGAGUCGCUGCGUAUUAUUUUAAGACCCGCCAAGGUGGCUCCGUCGUUUGGCAUAAUCAUCGUUCCGCCGUGGCCAUAAAUAUCGAAUCUAUCUGUACAAUCCAGAAGAAAAUGGUUCCCAUCGGGACAGAGCAGUGCUAGAGUGUUUGUGGUAGUGCGGCAGUGGCACCUUUGUGCAUCGGGAGUGGGUAUGCGUGCGUGCGGCAGCGUGUGUUUUCGUUUUUCGUCAUCCUACGACGGAUUCUUCUUUUAAUCCACCUCUUCUUGCCAUUAACAUUCUUGUUCCGGAAUACCGGAAGGAUCAGGAUGUCGGAUUGAAGCGACGAACAAGGCAGCCACUGUAAUAGUCAUCCUUUGCAUACCGGGGGCAGGCGAAUAUCGCAGCGAAUGCACCACGAGAGUCACCAGGAUUUCGGAUGCUACGGGCUUACCGUAGCUCACACUCCUUUUCGGCUAUUUUAGUUGAGCUGCAUUUAUUUUCUGCUACGAGCCGAGCGGUCACGCGGGUGUGAGUAACAGAGAAAAAGCCCCCUAGUAUCCCCCGUGUGUUGGAAAACAGUAUGGCAAGGAUUGUACCGGGCGCGAUCGUUCCACCAUCGAUCGCCCUGUGCUGUAAAGCACCUGACCAGCAGCAGGAGAACGGAAACAAGCAGCUCGACUUCAUCCAUCGAGACUAGUCGUAGCAGGAGAAGCAAGGAGCAUUAGAAUCGAAGCGUAUGCGAGUUGCGAUCGUCGGGCAAACAACUGCAAGAAAAGCCAAUGUGCGUGACUGAACCGGGAGUUAACGCUCAUUUUGGGUUUUUUCUUCUUCCAAGUUCUAAUACCGAUCCGUCGGUACCCGCUCGAGGCCAAUCUUGCUGAAGAAACGGAAUUUACGCAGUUCUUUCUAAUUUACCUCCUCGUAGUUUUGUACCUCUGCCAUCACUUCGGAAAAGUUGAAAUCAACGGAGGAAAAGUAGUCCGGGCAAAUUCAGUCAAAUCGCUUAGCAAUGGCUACUUAAAUCGUAGUUCAUCUUUCUUCCUUUCUCGUGAACUGUUUUUCGCAUCUUUCCGGUAGAAAUUCUUGCACCGAGGUGGUCUCCAUCCGAUCUACAGCGGAGUGUGUUUGGUACGUUGCGCAUGCCGUUGUCGCCCAGCUUUCUCCCGGCAGACAGCAGAGCUGCUGCUGCGUUAGCAAAAAUAACGAAGAAAAGAGAAAAUUAUUCAUUGCCACUUGAUUCGCGAGCCCGCGCGUGUGUUUGUGCGUUUGUUGUGUGUAGUGUUUUGUGAGCACACCUGUAUUGUGUCGACGGGCUGUCUGUUUUUUUCCCCGCGGUUCACGUGAAGAAAGAUAAAAUUGUUCCGUGCAGUGGGAGAUUGUGUGCAAAAGGCUGUUUUUCCCCCACUAGUUUCCACAAAUUUCAACCUAUCAAACAUAACAAAUUGCUCCGUGUGCACCCCGCGGUUGUGGGAGCCACUAGGCGUAUACACACAUACACAUACACACAUUUCGCGUUCUACCCUUUGGACGCGGGGCAGUUUUCUUCCCCCGUUCAACGAGCGAAACGAAACACUGGCCACAAGUCAAAGAAAAAUCCUCCGUUUUGGAAGCCAAUCUGAGCUAAAAGUCUGCGUUUGUUUAAAAACACACGCGGCGUCACGAAAGAGAACGAGUAAGCAUUGAUGGUCCAGUAGCGGACAAGGAAGAGAUACAUUUAUAUCUUUAGUACUGCUUGUAACCAACAAAACCGCCACAAUUUUGGAGGUAUUGUCAGCAGAGGGCGUUUGUGGUUGCGGUGAGUGUGCAACCAGCGGCGGUGUGGGACCGAGCGGUGGC